UCGGCAAUGGGCGAAAGCCUGACCGAGCGACGCCGCGUGUGGGAUGAAGGCCCUCGGGUUGUAAACCACUGUCAACGGGGAGGAAAUACAGAAGGGCUAUCCCUUUUGUUUGACCUAUCUGUGGAGGAAGUACGGGCUAAGUUCGUGCCAGCAGCCGCGGUAAGACGAACCGUGCGAACGUUAUUCGGAAUCACUGGGCUUAAAGGGUGCGUAGGCGGGUGGACAAGUCGAGGGUGAAAGCCUCUAGCUUAACUAGAGAAGUGCCCUCGAUACUGUUUGUCUUGAGAGAGAUAGGGGCACACGGAACUUCCGGUGGAGCGGUGAAAUGCGUAGAUAUCGGAAGGAACGCCGGUGGCGAAAGCGGUGUGCUGGAUCUUUUCUGACGCUGAGGCACGAAAGCUAGGGUAGCGAACGGGAUUAGAUACCCCGGUAGUCCUAGCCCUAAACGAUGAGUACUAGAUUGUGGACUGACAUGGGUUCACAGUCGAAGCAAAAGUAUUAAGUACUCCGCCUGGGGAGUAUGGUCGCAAGGCUGAAACUCAAAGGA
rnacentral:rRNA from 1 species